CACAGGGCCACAAUAAUGGCAUUUGUUGGGGUAACCAACUAUUUGUUACUGUUGUUGAUACUACACGCAGUACAAAUAUGUCAUUAUGUGCUGCCAUAUCU
rnacentral:miRNA from 1 species